UUGCAAGGCACUUUAUCAACUAGAAAAAUUUGCAUUUCCUGCGAAAAUGCUGUGCGGAUGCCUUAACGCUGAAGCUGUCUGCUGAAAAAAGCUGAAAAAGUUAAAAAGUUGCAAAAAGUUGUAUGGCGGUGAAGAAACUGAAGAUUCUGCUGAAAAAAGGUGAAGAAGCAGACAUUUUUUGCUGAAAACUGGUGAAAAGCAAAAGAUUCUACUGAAAGGGGUAAAGACGGAGAAAUUUUUGCUGAAAAGUGGUGAAAAAACAAGGUUGCCAUGAGCAGGAGCCGAACCUGGCCCUCCUGGUCUCAAGGCGGCUACUCAUCUCACUGAGCUAAAGUCAUUCUCACAAAGAGGAGGUGGAGAGACUGACAAUUCUGCUGAAAUGAGCAGAAGCUGCUGAGAAUUGUGCUGAUAAGAGGAGAAAAGGCUGAAAAUUUUGCAGAAAAGAGGUGAAUCAGCAGAAUUUCUGCAGAAUAGAGGUAAAGAAGCAGAAAGUUGCACUGAAAAGAGAUGAAUCACCAAAAUUUCUGCUCAAAAGAGUUUUUUUCUGAAAACAGCUGAGAUUUGUGCUAAUAAGAGGGGAAAAGGCUGAAAAUUUUGCAGAAGAGGUGAAUAAGCAGAAUUUGGGCUGAAAAGAGGUGAAAAUUCUGAAAAUUCUGCUGAACACAGGUCAAUCAGCAGAAUUUCUGCUGAAAAGAGUUCUGCAGAACUCUUUUCAGAAUUCUGCUGAAAAGAUGUUUUUGCUGAAAAUAGCUGAAAAAGCUGGGAUUUGUGCUGAAAAGUGGUGAAAAAAAUGAAAAUUUUGCUGAAAAGGGGUGAAAAAGCUGAAAUUUGUAUUGAAAAGAGUUGAAAAAAAGUUUAACUGUUAACUGAAAGAAAUGUUGCCAUAAGCGGGAUUUGAACCCGGGCCUCCCAGUCUGAGAACGGAUGCUCAUCUCACUGAGCUAAAACACAGGUCAUCCCGGCAAGGAAAAUCAGUUAGGCCACUGAUAAUAUGGCAGAAAUGGGCAAAAAAUAUUGCAAAAAAAAAAAUUCAAUAUCUCAAAAAGUAUAGAAGUUAUGAGCACCAAAAGUCAUAGCCGGCAUUAGCAGAAAGAGCAGAAUUUUUUAAAGUUUGAAUGGCGAAAAUCGGAUAAAAACUGAGUAGUUAAGUGCCAAAAAGUGUACG
rnacentral:lncRNA from 1 species